ensembl:ncRNA ZK381.34 ncRNA
GGGGACUACCCUCCUCUUCUUCCAAGAUGUGAUCAAUGUGUCAUUCAAAUGAAAAGAAGAAGAAGAUGAGGAGGAGCACAAGAAGAAACAGAAAAGUGAAUGAAGUGGGGGAAGAAUUGUUACAAAUCUAUCUAUUCUGAUUUCUUAUUCUAUUCGAGACUUAGUUGUGUCAUUGUU